GUCGGACGGUAGCACAGAGAGCUUGSUCUUGGGUGACGAGUGGSGGACGGGUGAGUAAUGUCUGGGGAUCUGCCCGAUAGAGGGGGAUAACCACUGGRAACGGUGGCUAAUACCGCAUAACGUCGCAAGACCAAAGAGGGGGACCUUCGGGCCUCUCACUAUCGGAUGARCCCASAUGGGAUUAGCUAGUAGGCGGGGUAAUGGCCCMCCUAGGCGACRAUCCCUAGCUGGUCUGAGAGGAUGACCAGCCACACUGGAACUGAGACACGGUCCAGACUCCUACGGGAGGCAGCAGUGGGGAAUAUUGCACAAUGGGCGCAAGCCUGAUGCAGCCAUGCCGCGUGUAUGAARAAGGCCUUCGGGUUGUAAAGUACUUUCAGCGGGGAGGAAGGCGAYGGGGUUAAUAACCCYGUCGAUUGACGUUACCCGCAGAARAAGCACCGGCUAACUCCGUGCCAGCAGCCGCGGUAAUACGGAGGGUGCAAGCGUUAAUCGGAAUUACUGGGCGUAAAGCGCACGCASGCGGUCUGUUAAGUCAGAUGUGAAAUCCCCGGGCUUAACCUGGGAACUGCAUUUGA
rnacentral:rRNA from 1 species